UGUCGGCUUAAGUGCCAUACGAGCGCAACCUCAUCAUUAGUUACCAUCAGGUAAGGCUGGGACUCUAAUGAGACUGCCAUCGUAAGAUGUGAGGAAGGUGGGGAUGACGUCAAAUCAGCACGGCCCUUACGUCCGGGGCGACACACGUGUUACAAUGGGUGGUACAAAGGGCAGCUACCUGGCGACAGGAUGCUAAUCUCGAAAACCGCUCUCAGUUCGGAUCGGAGUCUGCAACUCGACUCCGUGAAGCUGGAUUCGCUAGUAAUCGCGCAUCAGCCACGGCGCGGUGAAUACGUUCCCGGGCCUU
rnacentral:rRNA from 1 species